rnacentral:lncRNA from 10 species
CCAGAAUGCACGUGCCUUGGUUGCAGAGUGAGCCCCUCAGCCCCGAAUCUGGAGUGGCCGCGGCCGGGAAACAGGAACCCGGGUUUAUUAUUAGCCGUCGGGGAAGAGGGGCCGGCAGCAGUUCCAACAGUGUGAUAACACACGGAAAACGGAAAUCCAAGGGAUCUAGCAAAAGGAUUCCACCCAGCAAAAACGCCAGCUUGGGAGAGGGCCCCUACCUAACUCCUUCCUUCUGGCCUCCACCCCUCCCCUGAUACGUUUCCUUCCGUCUAGUCUCGAGAUAACCCUUCAUCCCCCAGUUUCUUGACUCUGGCCGCUGUUCUUGAACAUUUCUUAAACACUUUCAGAGAAAGAUGGCUCAUGCACCUGCCUGCAAAACUUCCCAAACCGGGCCUCCCAGCUCCCCCAGACCCCGCAACAACUCACACCCGCCGGGGAAACUCCAGAAGGAAAAGGUCCGCCGGCCAGAGCUCUGGGCCCUUGGAAUCACCCCACCACCGCCCCUCUGGCUUCAGCCAAUCAGAAGCCGUCAGAAAAUAUUAUGCAAAUGAAUCCUGAUGCUCCAGCCAGUCAGAAGCCGCGGAGCCCUCCCCCACGCAGCGUCCUCUUUCACCCCAGCCCCGCCAAGCUGGCUGCCGCGUCCCUGGCAACCGGCGCGCAGCCAGUUCUCCACUACGCUUGGCUGUAAAAAAAUUAAAAUGGUUGCCUGGGGUCACAUGGGAGGGGAGCGGGCUGGCCCAGGCCUAAGGAAGGUUGGAAACCUCACUGAUUGCCCCAGGCACCUUCCCUGUCCCGAUCUGGAACAGGCUGGAGGUGCUGAGCCACCUGCCCGGAAUUCAGUUUGCCUCCAGAAAACAGAAGUCAUCCGUUGAACAAAUAACUUUCGAGUCCUUGUAGCACGCCAACAGCCUCAAAGCAAGAGGUCUUUGGUCUCUGCUUUCUAUCCUAUAUGCUAAAUUUCCGGUAAAAGCCUUGUCUGAGGUACCCAUCCCCACUUCUUGGUUCACAGUUGCAAUUCUGGAAUUCUGGAUCUCUUUUUUUUUGUUUUGUUUUUUUUUGAGACGGAGUCUCGCACUGUCGCCAGGCUGGAGUGCAGUGGAGCAAUCUCGGCUCACUUCAACCUCUGCCUCCCGGGUUCAAGUGAUUCUCCUGCCUCAGCCUCUCCAGUAGCUUGGACUACAGGCGCGCACCACCACGCCCAGCUAAUUUUUAUAUUUUUAGUAGAGACGGGGUUUCACCAUGUUGGCCAGGAUGGUCUCGAUCUCUUGACCUCUUGAUCCGCCCGCCUCGGCCUCCCAAAGUGCUGGGAUUACAGGCGUAAGCCACCAGCGCCCUGCCGGAACUCUUAAAUUCUGGUUCUUAAUUCCCACUCUUUUAAUUAAGCAACCUGGAAAGCAUGCUUUGCUGGCUCAUCUCCCCAAAAAUGUCCACAAAUUAUCCUUGUACUGUGUCCCUUGGAUAGUUUUUUUUUGGGGGGGGGGAAUGACAUUUUAAAAGUGACCAGAAAUUCCUGAACAAAGUAGUCAGCAAGAGUAAACUGGUGCAAGAAAGUCAGACUGGAUAAAGAAGAGAUCUGGCCUAGAACUGGAAGAAAGAUGAUAUUUUAAGGCAAGAAGCCAGCCCAACCCAAGAUAGCAGAGAUCCUGGAUUAUUUUGAGACAGACUUAGAAGGAUCCAUUUCAUGAAAAAUGUCCUAGAAAUAUGACAGUCAGACUCUCGUGUUAAAGGCCAUGUAGUCCAACCAUCCACUUGUGCUGAAAUCGCUCACAACAUCCCCACCAAGUGGUCGCCCUUGCCUACAUUCUUCUAUUUUCCGUUCUCCAGUGUUCUUCUAUCUUUUGGAGCUCUACAGAAGGCCAUGAAGCACACCAUCAGAUGUUUGAAGGUGGCACGUGGGGUGAUGGUGCUAAUAUCGCUAUACAAGCCAUGCAGGGCCCUUUCUUCAUUUUGCCCGUCUUUAAAGGGUGGAAGUUCUGGAGAGAGUCACUACAUAGAUAAUGUGAGGAGGAUCUCUGAUUCCCGCCAUGACAGAGUAACUGGAAAUGAACUUUCCUUCUCACCAUAAACAGCUAUAAAACUGGGAGAAAAUAUCCACGACACAUAUGUCUCACAAGAGACUUGUAUCCAGAAUUCUUAAAGAAUGCUUUCAAUAAUAAAAUGACAAAAAUUCCAAUUUAAAAAUGCAUAAAAUACUUGAAAAGAAUCAUGGUUACCAGGGGCUGGGGUGGUUGACAGGGGGUUGGGGAAAUGUUGGUCAAAGGACAUAAAAUUUGGUUGAAUAGGAGGGAUAAGUUCAAGAGAUCUAUUUUACAAUCUGGUGACUGUAGUUAGCAAUAUAUUGUAUUUUUGAAAAAUGCUAGGAGAAUGGAUGUAAAGUGUUCUCACCAUACAAAUGAAAACGAUGUGAGGUAAUGCAUGUGUUAAUUUGCUAUAUUUAGUCAUUCCACAAUGCAUAUAUACUUCAAAACAAUAUGUUGUACAAAGUAAAGGCAUAAAAUUUUAUCUGUCAAUUUAAAGUAAAUAAAUGAAUGAACAAAUGAAUAAAAAGACACUUCAUGAAAGAAAAUAUAUGACCGACAAGCACAUGAAAAGGGGUUCAACUUCAUCAGUUAUCAGAGAAAUACAAAUUAAAACCACAAUAUGAUACCACGUCACACCCACUAAAAUAGCCAAAAUUUAAGUCUAAUAACACUAAAGUUCGGUGAGGAUGGGGAGUAACUGAAAUUCAGCAUUGAUGUGGAAGUGUGAA